rnacentral:lncRNA from 1 species
UGAUAAGCAUGCCACAGGUGAUGAUGGAAAGUUUCUGCACCCCAUAACCCUCUCAGCAUAUACAGCCAUCCAAAUCAGAGCAAUCAAACCAAAUCAGAAAACAAAAACAGUUUUAAUGAACAAAAUGCUCCCAGAUGAUUUCCAGCGCCCUUACCCCCACCCUGGGUAGACUGAAAAGAGAGACUGGAAAACCACAGGUCUGUUUGGGGGGGGGACAGUUAAAUACCCUGUGGAAGUUGUCUUGUGUAUCUCUGGGGGAGAGGUCAUCAUUUGGCAGGCUUCCUGAAGGCAGCAGGAUUUGGAGAGAUACAAGCAGCUUGGGGUCGAGCUUCCACCAGAACUUUCCAGAUUCUUUGGGCAUAUGAAUGCCAGUGUCUAGGGUGAAGCUUCCACCAGAACAGUGUUAUGCCUUCAUGCCUGAAGAGUGCACCAAAUCUCAAAAUUGUUGACUGAUAGUCACCCUGUGGUUGAUGGAAACUGAACUCCUGAAGAGCAGCUACUUUUCUUAACCUCUGAGCCAUCUCUCCAGCCACACUAGUGCCGGCCUCUGGGUUCCGGUAGAUGCUGUCCUUCAUGGUCCCCACCAGGGGACCCCGAGGGGCCCGGGACAUCCAGAUCUCGUCCCAGGAGAGGAGACGGGCCACACCGGACCAUGCCCUGGGGACAAGGACACAUCAAAAGAAGGAACAAUCCCUGCCAACCGCCCGGUUGCCAACCAGGAAAACUCAUCUUCAGAAGGCAAAGAACACUGCAUGGGUUGAUACUUAAGAAGAGAAGGUAGUUUAUAACCAUCAAACAAAAGGAACAUGCCAUACGUGUGGGUACCUCACAAGCAAACAUUUCUCUGCUGUUUAUGUUUGAGUCCCACACAACCAAUGAAGACCUGCCUGACAGCAAUCCCUGGACACCCUGGAAAGAAAAUGGGCCACACCUCCUCGACUGCACUGGAUCCAACUUGCUCCAUUUCAACUGACAUUCCUGCCGGAGAUUCGGGUACUGACUUCAAUCAAGUUGAGGAUUUCAAGCGAGAUCUUCAAUCAAGCAAAUCCCAUCUAACAUGGACUGGAUACAAUUUAUUCAAGGCUUUUACUAUACUAACAUUUUCUUCCUAUAGGACCCUACAAGGAUGUCAUGGUCCCAUUUCAGCAGGAAGUAACUUGGAGGAUGCUAAGCCCCCCUUUCUCCCAAUGUUGUCACUUAGGAUAGUGUAUAUACCUAGUUAGGGAUAGCUUCCUAUUGUUUAUGGUUGGGAUUAGAAGGAGGUGUUCAGGCUUGGACACCUCUUUCAGAUGACUUUAGGGUUUAGUUAAAAUAGUUAGGAUGUGACAUAAGCAGAUUGUUGUAUCUUCUUAUAUUUCACCUUUAUGAUUGUUAAUUUUGGAUACUUUGCCCUGUUAAGUAUCAAUCCUCUUUUAGACUGAAAGGGGAAUUGUAGUGGAACCUGUAGCCAUGCCUGCUUAGGACCUGGCUAAAGGUGUCCCUGACCACUCCUGCCAGGGUGUGAUCAGGGUGACAUAGAUUGAGAGGUUCAGGUGGCUGGGUUUCACUUUCGGUUUCACCUUUUGGUUUGCUGUACAGAGUGCUGCUAUGCCUCCUGGGUAGGUCACUCUGUAAGGCUUUUUCCUAUUAAAUACCCUUGUAUUUCUACCUGGCUCUUUAUUGGUAAUUUCCC